rnacentral:rRNA from 1 species
AUUGAACGCUGGCGGCAGGCCUAACACAUGCAAGUCGAACGAGUGGCGGACGGGUGAGUAAUGUAUGGGAAACUGCCCGAUGGAGGGGGAUAACUACUGGAAACGGUAGCUAAUACAGCAUACCAUCGGAUGUGCCGCGAUGGGAUUAGCUAGUCGGUGGGGUAACGGCUCACCUAGGCGAAGAUCCCUAGCUGGUCUGAGAGGAUGAACAGCCACACUGGAACUGAGACACGGUCCAGACUCCUACGGUAGGCAGCAUUGGGGAAUAUUGCACAAUGGGCGCAAGCCUGAUCCAGCCAUGCCGCGUGUAUGAAGAAGGCCUUCUGGUUGUAAAGUACUUUCAGCGGGUAGGCGUUACUCGCAGAAGAAGCAUCGGCUAACUCCGUGCCAGCAGCCGCGGUAAUAC